GUCAUUGAGGGAACAGGAAGUUAUAAAGGAAACAGGAAGUUGAGGGUUCUUUCUUUAAUCUUCAAGGCUGCCCACAGCAGGCAGCAACAGCAAUGUGCAGCUCCUGCAAUUGAAAGACAAUGUUUAGAUUUAGUUUGGACCAACAAAGACAAUCCUCAUAGCAAAGCAUGCACAGUUGACGGCGAGCUCCUCCAGCGCCUGCAGCACCUCCUUCACCUCCUCCUUCAGCUGGUUCUCCGUUUACAGCCGGCACAGCUCCUCCUGGGAGGGACGUGGGGUCAGAGGACGCAGCUCGGUGAAGGACCGUCUCCCCCCUGGUCAACAGAAGAGAGAGAGAGAGACAACAUCACCCGAGGAACAGACAUCAACCCCCCUGCUGCUUCUUUUGGUGUCUUGUGUUUAUGAUGGCACAUAUAUCAUCACAUAUAGACUGAACAGAGAUCAGAGCACAGAUACAGGAACAGCAUCAUCAUCUACACUCUGUUAACAUUUAAAUAAAGUGUUUAACAUUUUAAAAACCUCAUGGUUUCAGUUCAAUGUUCGAUGUUUUCAAGCACAAAUAGAAUCUGUACUUACUGCAGUUUUUCUGUAAGGACUAAAAACUACUUAAAGGCAGGGUUGGUGAUUUUCUCCAGAUCCACUUUUUAAGAUUGUGGUUGAAAUGAUCAACCCUGCCUUUAACCCAGACAAGACUCUCUCUUACCUGCUGUUUGUAAAGUGUCUUGAGAUAACAUUUGUAUUGAGUUGGCGCUCUACAAAAUAAAGAUUGAUUGAACUGA